GUGUCAGCAGCCGCGGUAAAACGUAGGAAGCGAGCGUUAUCCGGAUUUACUGGGCGUAAAGCGUGUGUAGGCGGUUUGAUAAGUUGGAUGUGAAAGCUCCUGGCUUAACUGGGAGAGGUCGUUCAAAACUGUCAGACUCGAGAGUGGUAGAGGGAGGUGGAAUUCCGGGUGUAGUGGUGAAAUGCGUAGAUAUCCGGAGGAACACCAGUGGCGAAAGCGGCCUCCUGGCCCAUUUCUGACGCUCAGACACGAAAGCUAAGGUAGCAAACGGGAUUAGAAACCCUUGUAGUCC
rnacentral:rRNA from 1 species